CUCUCUCUUCUUGUGAAAUAUUUCCUUACUCUUACCAAAGAGAAAAGCACAAUAUCUUCUCAAAACUUCCGGUCCUCUCUCUCUUCCCCAUUCCUCUCAAAAUUUUGUUCCUCUCUUUGAUAUGCAUUGUGUUAGCUUCUUACAACCAUUUUUAUUUGAAUUUUAGGUGAUCAAUAUCUUCACUCCGUGAACUCUUUCUCACUCACAUAUUCUCUCUCUCAUUGCACUCACUCUUUCUCUCCCACCUUCAUCUUCAAUUUUGCAAUUGAAGUACCGAUAAAAGAUAAUGAGGAUGUCUCAAAGAGAUUGGCGUUCAAAUGUAGAGAUCGAACUUCACAAAGAGCUCUCCAGGCUGGUCCAUUAUAGGAGGAUGGUAAUGCCCCUUUUUUAUUCAGUACAGUGGACUGCGGUUGGCGUGUCGGGGACUGAGAAAAUUGGAGUCUUAGUGAUCGAGGUGAUCUAAUUCUUGGGCUAGGGUUUCAAUUGGAGAGGAUUAAUUUUAGCCUCCACUGAUUUUGGAAAUUGUUAAUUCCUAUAUGAAUAUGUCAGAAUAGGCCGAUCCGAUCUAAUUCUUGAAUCUUGUCUUUAAUGAUGUAUGUAAUUCUUAACCCUUGUUUUUCAUAAAUCGAAGAGGCUAUUUUUGCACAAACAUCACCUGUGGUGACUGCAGUUCUGGGCGGGUUCAAUGUCUGCAUUUUUGCUUAUGGCUAGAUAGGAACUGGGGAGCCAUUUACUAUGGACGGAAUACCAAAAAACAGGGGAGUUAAUUCUAGGGCAUUGGAGGAGUUGUUCUUUCUGAGCAGAGAAGCAGUACCAGAAGACAUAAUUUAUUUGUGAGCAUGCUAGAAGCUUACAAUGAGAAGAUUAGGGAUCUUUUUGAGAGAAUUCCAACCAACCUCUGAAUAAGUUGGAGAUAAAACAAGCAGCAGAGGGAACACAAGAAGUCCUUGGCUUUUCAAAGCUCGUGUUUAUGGUAUAGAUGAGGUGUGGGAGCUUUUAAAGACCGGAUGGCAAAUCCGAUCUAUUGGAUCAACUAAUGCUAAUGAGCUCAGCAGCUGCUUACACUGAUAAAAAUCUACUUGGAAUAUGAAUAUAGUUCUCACUAUUCGCUUCCUCCCACACCCACCCCCCUAAAAAAAAAAAAAAAAAAGGAAGUUUAGGCGACUGCAACUCUUAAAAUUUGUUUGUUUUACCACUCUUUGGUUAAUCCUCUGUCUUCUAUCCCAGAAUUUUAAAGUUCUCCACAAAAUAUUUAUGCGUUCUGCAUCAGAAUUCCUAUAUUCAAUAUAGUCUCACAUGAUGAACUUCAGUUAUGAUGUUUAAAACAGUUUCCAAAUUCAUGAGUGAAGUCAAAGAGAGAUAAUGACGGUGUAAGUGACCAUAGUAUCCAAUUCGCUGUACUAAUCUUUAUCUUGUGAAACCACAGUUUGUUGUGACUGUUUUGGGGAGAGGAUUUGGUAAAUGGGAAAAGGACCAGAAGCCACCUCUAGCUGGUUAACUUGGCUGGAAGUGAGUGAGUUGGGAGGAUUGAAGUUGAGGGUGAAAGGUUGAAUGAGUCUCAGUUCAUUAACAAGUCUCUCUCGGCUCUCGGCACUCCUUGAUUUUAUCUAUGCUCUUGCAAACAAGACAGCCCGUAUACCUUAUAGGAACUCAAAGCUCACCCAUUUGCUGCAGAACUCUCUAGGAAUUGAGCAUGGCCCUGCCCGCAAACAUGCAGACCCAACUGAACUUCUCAAGUACAAACAAAGGUUAAUGAUUUGUCCUACUACAACAAUGAUAAGAAUGAAUAGACCUAAGAGGAUGAGUUGUGAGAUGCUGUGUUGCUUGUAUUUUCUAACAAGCAAGAUCUUCCUAAUGCAAUUAAUGCUGUGGAGAUCAAUGAUAAGCUUGGCCUUCACUCUCUCUGCCAACGCCACUGGUACAUCCAUAGUACUUGUGCAACCUCUGGAGAGGGCCUUUUUGAGGGGUUGGACUAGCUCUCCAACAACAUUGCUAACAAGGCAGGUACUUGAACUAAUACCUUUCCUUUUUCCACAGUUUAAAGGACUAUUCAGCCCCUGGGUAUGGAGCCAUAACAUUACUGUGUAGUUAAUCGAAGCUUUUGUUUUACUGUUUUAAGUUUGCUUUUAAAAAUUUCACGUGUGAUGGCUGUUCUAUCUAUCUAACGGCUUUACUCUUCUUACUUGUUUCUAGGCCUGUGAUGAAUAAAUGUUGUGUUUAUCAAAAGAGGGCGUGUUAUAAAUGCAGGAUUUAUGCUGUGUAGCUCUGUUUUUCUUCUUUUUCUGUUUCUUUUUUUUU